CGGGUUGUAAAGCACUUUCAGUCGUGAGGAAGGUAGUGUAGUUAAUAGCUGCAUUAUUUGACGUUAGCGACAGAAGAAGCACCGGCUAACUCCGUGCCAGCAGCCGCGGUAAUACGGAGGGUGCGAGCGUUAAUCGGAAUUACUGGGCGUAAAGCGCAUGCAGGUGGUUGUUAAGUCAGAUGUGAAAGACCCGGGGCGUCAACCUCGGAAUUGCAUUUGAAACUGGCAGACUAGAGUACUGUAGAGGGGGGUAGGAAUUUCAGGUGUAGCGGUGAAAUGCGUAGAGAUCUGAAGGAAUACCGGUGGCGAAGGCGGCCCCCUCGGACAGAUACUGACACUCAGAUGCGAAAGCGUGGGGAGCAAACAGGAUUAGAUACCCUGGUAG
rnacentral:rRNA from 1 species